rnacentral:piRNA from 1 species
UAAGGACCUGUCUAGGGCUACACCUGG